rnacentral:rRNA from 1 species
GACGAACGCUGGCGGCGUGCUUAACACAUGCAAGUCGAACGGAAAGGCCUCUUUCGGGGGGUACUCGAGUGGCGAACGGGUGAGUAACACGUGAGUAACCUGCCCUUGACUUUGGGAUAACUUCAGGAAACUGGGGCUAAUACCGGAUAGGAGCUCCUGCUGCAUGGUGGGGGUUGGAAAGUUUCGGCGGUUGGGGAUGGACUCGCGGCUUAUCAGCUUGUUGGUGGGGUAGUGGCUUACCAAGGCCUUGACGGGUAGCCGGCCUGAGAGGGUGAGCGGCCACAUUGGGACUGAGAUACGGCCCAGAUUCCUACGGGAGGCAGCAGUGGGGAAUAUUGCACAAUGGGUGGAAGCCUGAUGCAGCAACGCCGUGUGCGGGAUGACGGCCUUCGGGUUGUAAACCGCUUUCGCUCAUGACGAAGCUUUGUGUGACGGUAGUGGGUAAAGAAGCACCGGCUAACUACGUG